UAUUGCGCAAUGGCCGAAAGGCUGACGCAGCGACGCCGCGUGUGGGAGGAAGCCCUUCGGGGUGUAAACCACUGUCAGGAGGGACGAACCCCGGACGGGCAAAUAGCCCGGACGGCUGACGGUACCUCCAAAGGAAGCACCGGCUAACUCCGUGCCAGCAGCCGCGGUAAGACGGAGGGUGCAAGCGUUGUUCGGAAUUACAGGGCGUAAAGCGCGGGCAGGUGGUCCUUUAAGUCCCUUGUGAAAUCCCGGGGCUCAACUCCGGAUGUGCGUGGGAUACUGGAGGACUGGAGACUGGUAGAGGCGAGCGGAAUUCCUGGUGUAGCGGUGGAAUGCGUAGAUAUCAGGAAGAACACCGGUGGCGAAGGCGGCUCGCUGGGCCAGUUCUGACACUCAUCCGCGAAAGCGUGGGGAGCAAACAGG
rnacentral:rRNA from 1 species